rnacentral:rRNA from 1 species
CCUACGGGUGGCAGCAGUGGGGAAUAUUGCACAAUGGGGGAAACCCUGAUCCAGCGACGCCGCGUGAGCGAAGAAGUAUUUCGGUAUGUAAAGCUCUAUCAGCAGGGAAGAAAAUGACGGUACCUGACUAAGAAGCCCCGGCUAACUACGUGCCAGCAGCCGCGGUAAUACGUAGGGGGCAAGCGUUAUCCGGAUUUACUGGGUGUAAAGGGAGCGUAGACGGCGGCGCAAGUCAGAUGUGAAAUCCCGGGGCUCAACCCCGGAACUGCAUUUGAAACUGUGCUGCUGGAGUGUCGGAGAGGCAGGCGGAAUUCCUAGUGUAGCGGUGAAAUGCGUAGAUAUUAGGAGGAACACCAGUGGCGAAGGCGGCCUGCUGGACGAUAACUGACGUUGAGGCUCGAAAGCGUGGGGAGCAAACAGGAUUAGAUACCCUUGUAGUC